AAGAGCAGGUGUAGGUGGUUGCAGGCUUGCCCCGCUGCAGGCUUGAGGAAAGUCCGGGCUCCCUAAAGACCAGGCUUGCUGGGUAACGCCCAGUGCGGGUGACCGUGAGGAGAGUGCCACAGAAACAUACCGCCAACGGAAAGGCUGCGCCAUGAAGGUGAGGGACGAAGUCCGCUUCGAAGCCCCCGCACGUUCAGCGCUGGACCUUUUACGGGUAAGGGUGCAAGGGUGCGGUAAGAGCGCACCAGCAAUGUCGAGAGGCAUUGGCUCGGUAAACCCCGGCCAGGAGCAAGGCAGAGGAAGCAAUGGUUGGUCUUUUCCCUGCUUCCAGAGUUGAGGCCGCAGGAGGUGUCUGGUAACAGACAUCCUAGAUAGAUAACCGCCCUUCAGGGCUCUGGCUCAAAGCGAUUUUGAGGCCCAAAGUGCUGAAGAACAGAACCCGGCUUAUGUCCUGCUCUUUCCA
rnacentral:RNase_P_RNA from 1 species